CUUCUCAACAGACACUCCUUUAACACUGAACACUGUGACCCUUAUAUCUGCACCUGAGCUGUCGAACUAUCUCGUGAGAUAUGCCUGCAUAGCACAGAUGGAAGACCAGACUAGGAAGGACUCAGCGCUGCCACUGUGCCAUUUCAUAUCUCUGCAAGUAUAAAGCACAUAGAAAUUUGCACUGGCUGAUUUUGAGUCAAACUUGAGUCAGCGGAAAGCAAGGAGCCUUGGAUGAGGAAAUGCUUCCAUGAGGUCCAGCGCUAAGGCAUUUUCUCAAUUACUAUCAAUGGCAGAGUGCCCAGCCUAUUGUAGGUAAUGUCAUUCCUGGACUGCUGGUCCUGUGUUCUAUAGGAAAGUAGGUGAAGCUAGCCAGUAAGCAGGAACCAUUUAUGGCCUCUGCAUCUGCUUCUCCCUCCAGGAUCCUGCUCCAUUUGAGUUCCCGUAUUGACAUCCUUCAGUGGUAAACAGCAACAUAGAAGUGUAAUCUAAAUAAACUCUGUCCUCCCCAA
rnacentral:lncRNA from 1 species